rnacentral:lncRNA from 1 species
GAGGAGAUAAGGUUGACUGGUUGAGAGGGAAUGUAUGAGACAAUAGGAGUGCUCAGUUUGGAAAUUGUGAAUUGGUGACGUGGCUAGAUGUGUUUUUUUUUGUUGAACUUAUAAUAUUGUUGACGCUAGUUUUUGAACUUAUAAUAUUGGAAAUAUAUUUUGGGGUCACUAAACAAUCUUAAGUAAAAAAGUUGUCAGCUACAUUUAGGCCUCGUCAAGCUUUGCAAUUUUGAUAUAAAGUUUAUCUCCAUCCAAGAUCGUAUGAAAAAGAUAUGAAUUAUUUUAUUUAAAAAUCUAGACAUAUGAAUAUACCCACCCAAAAU